AGACAGGAACUUGGCAUCCUCUUGGCUACCUCCUCACACCUAGGGCAGUGCCUGGCCUUUGGUUGAAGUUCAAUAAAGCUGACCUUUCAUUAAUAAAGGAAAAGGUAAAGAAACUGAGUUUCAUCUGGGCUGUCUUUAAGACUGGGUGCUUCUUUUCUUGAAAAAAAAAAAUAAUCUCAGGACCAAAUUUAUGUGCCGUCUUUGGUAGACAUGCCAGGGAAUUUAUGCCCAGAUCAGCUGGUUUCACUUCCUCCAUUGUCCGCUUUGUUUCUAUUCCUUUUCCUGGGAUGGUUUACAUUUCUGCUAGCUAUCUUACUGUUCUUAAAUGUUAUUGAACAAUGUGGAAAGCAUGUGGAGGUUUUCUGGUCUUCUAUGGCUCUUUGCUCUCUGGCUGCCAGGGCGAGAGAAAGACACCGUACAAAUCCCUAGCCCAUCUUGUUAAGUGGACACAGAUUUCUCUUGUGUCAGGAGUCCCUGGGGGAAUUCUGAAGCUCUACAAAUUGUCCCAGGGAUCAUUAGCUGCAGAGGAGGACCUCACGGUCACAGAAAAGUCAUGGAAAAAACAGUGAGGAAGCAGCUGUGUCUCCUUAGCCUGUAAUCUGGUGGGCCAAAGUUGAAGAGAGUGCUUUAAAAUUUGCCUGCCCUGAAGGGCACGAGGAAGGUUUCUGGGUUAACUGCCCGGGUGCCAGCAAGUGCAGGAACAGGGCCGGCAUUGUCCCACAGGCUGGGUCCCUAGAGAACAGCACUGCUCUUUUCUCCACGUGGAAGGUUCCAGAGGGCUGGAAGCAAAGCCACACUGAGCCACCUCACAGACAUUAGUAAUGUAUCCCUCUGCUCCCUCAGAGGUCAGAACCUGGAGGCUGAAGCCGGGGUACUCCGGGACUACAGCUUCCUGUGCCCACAGGCAGUGCUCCAGACUGCCAAGGGGAGUGUGAAGUCAAGCUGGCUGAGGAACAGAGGCUGGAGUCGCUUCUCGAGGCCAGGAGGAGGUCUCUAACUCCAAGCAGCCUCUCCACGAAGAACUUGGCUAGUCUUUUCACGAACUCAGUUCAGCCUCAAGGCCGGGUGAGCAUCCAGCCCCUGGUCCGGCAGAGAGCCCUGAGACGACACAGCAGAAUGACUGGCUUCAGCACCCUCGGGUAUCCUCAGAUAAAGGACUCUGAGAUGUUGGCAUGGAGGACGAGGGCUCUUCCAUUUCACCUCCUGGCAGAAGUGUGAACAGAUCAAAUACCAGCACGGUUUCAUCACCAAUGAAUACGCAGGAGGGUGUCCUCAAGUUGGGAGCAGUGGUUCUAGACCGUGAGCCUACUUUACCCUCGUGGGGGAUGGGGAGCAGCCAUGAAAACAGAUGGCAGAUGUGGGGCUCACUCCUGUAAUCCCAACACUCCAGAGGCUGAGGGAGGAGGAUAUUUGUGAGUUCAAGGCCAGCCUGGGUUAUGUAGCAAGAUCUUUUUUUUUAAUUUUUUAUUGUUAUUUUAGCUGAAACUGGUGACAUAAGCUUGUGAGCUCAACACUUGAGAGGCAGAGGCAGGGGCAUCACUGCAAGCUCCAGACAAGCUUGGACUACACAAUGACACUCUGUCUCAAAUAAACAAAAUGGUAUGUGUCCAGGGGUCAGGGUGGGGUCAUGGUGAAUGAAACACACCUAUAAAUUCUGUUAGAAAGCUGAGUCAGAGGAUCGUAAGUUCAAGGACAAUUUGAACUAUGUAUGGAGACCCUGUCUCCAAAACAGUAACAAAACCCAAACAAUAAACAACAGGACCAGAGAUCACUGGACCCAGAACUACAGAUCCCACAGAGAACCACUAGGUCUAGAAUUGGAUUCACUAAGCUUCUUACCGGUGGUGGCUGGGUGCUCACACUGCUGGUCUUGGAACCCCACUUUGAGAAACCUGUCUCUAGCUUGCAAGGGUGAGGUCUACUUAAACCCCCAAAUUCUAUCACUUUGAGGGUCUUCGGAAAGAAAGGUGGCUGGCCGUCUCCACGCUCCCUUCACUAUUCAAGUGGGUCACUCAGCUUUCAACUUCAGAGCCCUUUUGUGGCACAGAUGCUCAUGGCUGUGUUGAGGGUGCCCCCUAGUGGUCCACCUGAAAAACGAACCUGCUCUUUAAGGUAUUUUUGCCUUUAUCCUUAACAAGGUAAGCCAACCUUCAAACUGUAUCAAACAAACCAGGGAACUGGAGGUGAUCAUCAUUGGCAAAGAUCCAGUCCAGGUGCAGAGGAGGGGCUAGGGCCCCAUUUGAUGUGUGCUGGGUCAAAUAGGUGGCCUACUGAUGAUACCAUGGCUUUGGAAUCUUUGUCCAAACGAGAAGGCUUUAAGACUUACCAUGUUUCUUCAUUCAAAUUUUAUAGGUGUUAAAAUCAAGACAAGGCUUGUGAGGUGGUUCAGUGGGUAAAAGCCCUUGCCACCAAGCUUGACAACCUGAGUUCAAUCCCUGGGACCCACGUAGUGGAAGGAGAGAACUGACUCCCACAAGUUGUCCUCUGACCUCUACACAUAUGCUGUGGGUUGUACAAGCCCCACCCCACCCCCCAAAUUAAAUAAAUGUAAUUUAAAAAUCAA